GCUGCCCGAGGAAGGGACGAGAUUUGUUGUUUUCUUCUACCAGCUCCACCUCCCUUGUCCAAAAGUAGCGAGCAAGUGGGAAAACCACGUCUCACAAAACGCCCCCGCGAGACAACAAGUGUGUGCCUGUGCUCCCGAGACCUAUUCUGUGAAGAGUUGCCCAGUGGUCGGAUAUUGAAUGUACUGGGAACUGGAGUAAGGGCGAAAGAGGAGCGCAGGGCAACAUUAAUGUAAAAUGCUGAGGGACAGAUCAAGAAGGAAAUCAUAAGACAGCAUGCUAUUUCCUCGAAAACUAUGGAGCAUAUUACUUACCCUGAAUUAUGCAGAAAACUUUUUAACAGAAGUGCAAGUAGUUACUUUUCUACAAGCUGCUGCAGAUGAGUUGAUGGUCACACCUCAUGAAGGAGAAGAAACCUGGAAUCAACAAGGAGACAUUCUUAAGCACAUCGUGCUGACUCAGAGCUCCUGCUAUAAAAUUUGAUACCCCUGAAAAUCAUCUUUAACACAGGUCUGCCCCAUAUAUUAUUGUACAUACACUAUGGGGGGGUCCUAAGGUUCAAAAUGUUGCCUAUUCACAGAAGAUCCACAGGCAAGAUGUGGGAACAAGCCAAGGAACACUGAUUUAAUUAAGCAAGUGUUCUCUAAACUCCUGCAAAUUAUCAGUUUCCACAAGGCAGAGGGACAAUUGUUGGUAAAGGGAAUGAAACUUCUAUGAAAUUUAAUCUGGCUAUGGAAGUACUGGGGUCAAAAUAAACAAACAGAUAUUUCCUGCUGUAGCUAAAACCAAGCAAAAUACUCUUUNNNNNNNNNNNNNNNNNNNNNNNNUUUCCCACAUUUUGGGAUUUUUUUCCCCUUUACUUUUAUGGCUAAGUAAUAAUUUUUAAGUUACAAGAAUUUUUACAUCCUUCAAAACGUAUUUCUCCUACCUAGGAAUGAUUUUUGUUCAUUGAUUUGUAAUUUAAAUGCAAUUUACAUAUGAUAAUAAUUAAGAGACUUAGUAGCUUUAAUAUUAAGAACUAAGAACAAAAGCAAAACCUUCCCCGUAAUCUUGUGUCAAAUCAAACUGAAAUGUGAAGAAAAUUUCCAUUAAUAUCUUUGGGGCAGGAACAUUUAUUAUAGCUAUUAGGUAGCACAGUUAGCCUGUUAGAUUAGUUCUGAUCAAACAAUUUAAAGCUGUUUUUAUUAAUAGAUUGUUAUUUCUUUAAAAAAAAAAAAAAGAGAGAGAGAGAGAACCACAGAGUAAAGGUUAACAUGCAGAUUGUUUUUCCUUGAGCUUAAAAGAUCCCCUGUGUGGAUAAUUUCCAUUUUAAAAAAAAUAAGCCAAAGUUGGCACCUUACAUAUUUUCAAUACUUUAAUUACAGUAAUGCUGAUAAUCAGCUGGGAGAACUGCUGCUACAAGCAGUUAAUCUCAAUGAAGCCAAGAAAAUAAUAAUGUUAAAAAUGGAUGCUGUUAGUUGAGUACUUGCUUUGUGGCAGAUAGCAAAUUAGGGCUGGAUUUAUACUGUCUCAUUUAAUACAAAAGCUCUUUAGUGCCCGUGUUAUUCUCAUUUGAUAGAUAGAGAAACUGAGUUUCUGAGCCCUUAGUACUUGCCGUAUGCCACUUACUGUAAGUGGCAGAGCCCAACCAGACUUCUCUCCUCCACAGUCCUUGCCCUAAUCUACCUCGUGCAACUCUGUCACGGGACUCCAGGCCACAGAGUCAUCAGCAGCCACUCAUUCUUCACUUACAGCUGACAAAGGAUCAGUAGCAGCCAUCCUGCUGCCACCUUUUCAUUUUACAGGGCAGGCAAACUCAACUCAGGAAGUUUAAGUAGCCUGGCUAAGGUCAGCAACUAGUUAGUGACAGAAUUACUUGCGGACAAGAAUCCGUAUCACAGUUUAGUGUGCUUCCUAUCUGUCACACAGUGUUUUUAUCAGGAAGCUUUGUGGGGCAAUUAUAAAUAUUGUAACACUUGAACAAAUUAGGUCAUCAUACAUACUUAAAAAUGAGUUUUUAGAGAAACCUGAUACUGUAUGAGCAAACACAUUGUGGACAGAACAAAUACAUUUCAAGGCAUUAGUCAACAAAAAACAAAUGAUAUUAUAGUCCCAAAUCAUUUCCUCUCAGAAUAUUUUCAACAAUCACAAAAAGGGUAUUUGUGAUCCUCCAGAAUAUCUGCUAGUCCAUGUCAGGAGAGCUCUGGUUAAAUGUAGGACAUGUCUCCACUUGACACAUGAAAUUAAGUUACAAACCUAGGACAUCCAUUCGUACCUGCACCCAAAUCUAAUUUAUGAAUUUGUGGAAUGCCAGCAUGAAUUGAGUUCUGCUCACUAGGUACAUGGCAUUUAUUUCUUCAUUUUUUUUCAUUCAAUCAUACAGUAAAUGUUAAGUGCUCACACUAUGGGAGAUAUUGUAAUGGCUUAGUGUUACAGGAAUGACCAAAACAGGUUUGUCUUAGGAUUUUAUCCUACAAGGGAAGCCUUUCUUGAUGUUUUUCUCCUUCUUCUUCCUCUUUUUCAUUCCUCCUUCUUAUUUUCUUCUUCCUCUAUGUCUUCUUUUAUUUUUUCCCUUUCUAUUAUAAUACAGAUAGUCUCUUUUUGUAUCACCAUAAAUUAUGCUCCAACUUUUAUUGUGUACCUCAUGGAGUAGAAAGAAAAAGCUAUGAGUAAAAAUGGUCAUUCUAGUCUUAUUUAAGUAUAAAAAUCAAAAUCAUAUGUAAGAAGAGAAGCUUCUCAAUAAAAUAUUUUAUAGUUAUUACAGAAAAAAUAAAAUUUUAAUGG
rnacentral:lncRNA from 1 species